UCUGCUUCAUGUGUGUGUGUGUGUGUGCAUGUAUGCAUAUACACAUGCACGCACACACACUUAAAGUAGC